rnacentral:rRNA from 1 species
AUGUGGCCUGGAAGCUAUGUUACAGAAAAUGAGGUUAAACAGGUGAUCAUGGACAUGCCAGUGGAUAGAGCUCCUGGGCCCGACGGUUUCUCGGGACUUUUCUACAAGGUCUGCUGGGACAUAAUUUCGCAAGAUUUUAUGGCGGUAAUGCUCGAGCUGCACAGGAAUAAGUUUUUGUCCUUUGGCUUAUUGAACUCUUCAAUCAUCACUUUGCUGCCCAAGAAAGAGUGUUCCCUGGAGGUGGCUGAUUUCAGACCGAUAAAUUUAAUUCAUGGUGUAGCAAAAAUCUUUGCCAAAGUGUUGGCUGUUCGGCUUGCUCCCCUACUGUCGGCCCUCGUCUCUCAAGUACAGAGUGCGUUCAUAAGCCGUAGGAGCAUGCAUGAGAAUUUUAAGUUUGUGCACAACACAGCCAGAGAGUUGCACAGGAAGAAAAUCCCGUCGGUGUUGAUGAAAAUUGAUAUCUCUAAGGCAUUUGACACCCUGUCCUGGGAAUUCAUUAUUCAGAUUUUAAAGAGGAGAGGUUUUGGGAACCGUUGGUGCUCUUGGAUCUGCGGCCUUCUACGUACUGCUUCCUCCUCAGUGCGGGUUAAUGGUGAGAUUAGUGAGCCUUUCUCUCUGGGCAGUGGGGUGAGGCAAGGCGACUCACUGUCCCCUGCUCUUUUCAUCUUAGUCAUGGACGUCCUACAAGCCAUGAUCAAUUGGGCUGCACAGAACAACCUGUUAUCGAGCUUGGGUCUCAAUUCCAAUGUGCCGAGGACCUCCUUCUUUGCAGACGACGUGGUGCUCUUUUUGAGAAACUGCUCUAGUGAUAUGGAGGUGAUUGCUGCCAUCCUAAAACUUUUCGGAGAGGCUUCCGGGCUUCGCAUCAACCUGCAAAAGAGCACGGUCACUUGCAUCAGAUGCGAUGAGUCCUCCUCAGCGGCUGUGGCUCAGUUCUUCGGCUGCCAAUCCAAAUUAUUCCCGCUGCAGUACCUUGGAUUACCCCUCUCUAUUUACCGCUUAAAGAGACAGGACGUUUGGCCACUCAUUGACAAAUAUUCCAACAAGAUGAAGGGGUGGAAACCAAGGUUGAUGGCACCAGCUAGGCGCCUGACGCUCACUCAAUCGGUUCUCAUGGCGUUUCCAAUCCAUUUCCUCUCGGUGAUGCAGCUUCCGGCGUGGGCGUUGAAGAUUAUUAACAGGAGAUGCCGGGGCUUCUUAUGGAAGGGGAACUUGGAUAUUAAUGGGGGGCACUGCCUCCUGCCAUGGUCAUGA